rnacentral:rRNA from 1 species
GUCUACGGCCAUACCACCCUGAAGGCACCCGAUCUCAUCUGAUCUCGGAAGCUAAGCAGGGUUGGGCCUGGUUAGUACUUGGAUGGGAAAAAGUUAGGCUAGAAA